rnacentral:rRNA from 1 species
CAGUGCCACGGUAAAACGAAGGGUGCAAGCGUUACUCGGAAUUACUGGGCGUAAAGCGUGCGUAGGUGGUGGUUUAAGUCCGUUGUGAAAGCCCUGGGCUCAACCUGGGAAUUGCAGUGGAUACUGGGUCACUAGAGUGUGGUAGAGGAUAGUGGAAUUUCCGGUGUAGCAGUGAAAUGCGUAGAGAUCGGAAGGAACAUCUGUGGCGAAGGCGACUAUCUGGGCCAACACUGACACUGAGGCACGAAAGCGUGGGGAGCAAACAGGAUUAGAUACCCCCGUAGUCCCUGUCUCUUAUACA